AGAUUGGUGAACCGUUUCACAGCUCAUUAUGUGUCUGCACUAGAAUUUGCAAGGUUUCUUAGCUGUGCACACUUGGUCCUUCAGCUGAGCGCAAACACCAUUCUUGCAUCAUAAAGGGCAUUUAGGUGUUCCGGUGUCAUGAACUCAUGAUGAGCUAUGGGGAUCCCAAAGAUGAAAACUUGAUCCUAGGAAUCUCAAAAGAAGGUCCUCAUGCUACAUUAGGUGUUCUCGGGGAAAAAUACUGGUAUGACAGUGCCUCAAAAUGUAUUUAGCAUAUAAGGAACCUGAGCACAAAAUCAAAUGGCUGAUAUGUAGCAUGCAUCUAAGGGCGGCGUGCGCUUGAGAUUCCGCUCGAGAUCGAUCGAUUCGACCGGAUUUUGUAGUCGAUCGAGUUGUAGUGUUCAGGAAUCGGAACUUGUAAGGUUGUUAAAUUUCAAAGAUGUAAACUGGUAUGAGUUUCAGAAUUAUAUGGUCAUAUCCUCUAUUUUUAUCCCAAGGCUGCUAAUGUACGAGUUUCAGAUUUUUGUGCACUAUCGAAUCAUCUACUACAAUGUCCAGACUAGAUGGAAUGGUGUUCAGUUAGAGAAGAUAGAUGAUCUUGCUUGGUAGCUUAUCAUAUGUAUUGUCUCUUUUGAUUUUGCUUGUUGAUCUUCAGAUAGUAUUUUUGCUGGCAGACCUUCUAUAAAUAAGAUGGUAUAUGCCCUUGCCAUGCUCUAUAAAGAAAAGGGAUUUCAUGUUUGUGCAUGUGGUAUUCUCUAAACUGUAGUUCUCUCUUAU